GAUGAAGAACGCAGCGAAAUGCGAUAAGUAAUGUGAAUUGCAGAAUUCAGUGAAUCAUCGAAUCUUUGAACGCACCUUGCGCCCUUUGGCCAUUCCGAAGGGCAUGCCUGUUUGAGUAUCAUGAACACCUCAACUCUUUAUGGUUUUCCAUGAUGAGCUUGGACUCUGGGGGUUUUGCUGGCUCACAGUCGGCUCCUCUAAAAUGAAUCAGCUUACCAGUGUUUGGUGGGUAUCAUGGGUGUGAUAACUAUCUACGCUUGUGGUUUUUCCACCAGGUAACCUUCAGCAGUGGAGGUUCGCUGGAGCUCAUAGAUGUCUCUCCUCAGUGAGGACAGCCCUUUGAAUGUUUGAUCUCAAAUCAGGUAGGACUACCCGCUGAACUUAAGCAUAUCAAUAAGCGGGAGGA
rnacentral:misc_RNA from 1 species